rnacentral:rRNA from 1 species
GCAUUAUACGGCGAAACUGCGAAUGGCUCAUUAUAUAAGUUAUCGUUUAUUUGAUAGCACAUUACUACUUGGAUAACCGUGGUAAUUCUAGAGCUAAUACAUGCUAAAAAUCCCGACUUCGGAAGGGAUGUAUUUAUUAGAUUAAAAGCCAAUGCCCUCUGGGCUCUCUGGUGAAUCAUGAUAACUGCUCGAAUCGCAGGGCCUCGUGCCGGCGAUGGUUCAUUCAAAUUUCUUCCCUAUCAACUUUCGAUGUUUGGGUAUUGGCCAAACAUGGUUACAACGGGUAACGGAGGGUUAGGGCUCGACCCCGGAGAAGGAGCCUGAGAAACGGCUACUACAUCCAAGGAAGGCAGCAGGCGCGCAAAUUACCCAAUCCCGACACGGGGAGGUAGUGACAAUAAAUACUGAUACAGGGCUCUUUCGGGUCUUGUAAUUGGAAUGAGUACAAUUUAAAUCCCUUAACGAGGAACAAUUGGAGGGCAAGUCUGGUGCCAGCAGCCGCGGUAAUUCCAGCUCCAAUAGCGUAUAUUAAAGUUGUUGUGGUUAAAAAGCUCGUAGUUGACCCUUGGGCCUGGCUGGCCGGUCCGCCUCACCGCGUGUACUGGUCCGGCCGGGCCUUUCCCUCUGUGGAACCCCAUGCCCUUCACUGGGCGUGGCGGGGAAACAGGACUUUUACUUUGAAAAAAUUAGAGUGCUCCAGGCAGGCCUAUGCUCGAAUACAUUAGCAUGGAAUAAUAGAAUAGGACGUGCGGUUCUAUUUUGUUGGUUUCUAGGACCGCCGUAAUGAUUAAUAGGGACAGUCGGGGGCAUCAGUAUUCAAUUGUCAGAGGUGAAAUUCUUGGAUCUAUUGAAGACUAACUACUGCGAAAGCAUUUGCCAAGGAUGUUUUCAUUAAUCAAGAACGAAAGUUAGGGGAUCGAAGACGAUCAGAUACCGUCGUAGUCCUGACCGUAAACUAUGCCGACUAGGGAUCGGACGAUGUUAUUUUUUGACUCGUUCGGCACCUUACGAGAAAUCAAAGUG